CGGUUGAUCCUGCCGGACCCGACUGCUAUCGGAGUGGGACUAAGCCAUGCGAGUCCUGCGUCCUCGGUUGCGAGGGCGCGGCGCACGGCUCAGUAACACGUAGUCAACCUGCCCUGGAGACGCGGAUAAUCCCGGGAAACUGGGGCUAAUCCGCGAUAGGCCUGGGGUGCUGGAAGGCCCCUAGGCCAAAAGGGCAGGCGGGCAUGCUCCGUCUGUCCGCUCUAGGAUGGGACUGCGGCCGAUCAGGUUGUUGGUGGGGUAAUGGCCCACCAAGCCUAUAACCGGUACGGGCUCUGAGAGGAGGAGCCCGGAGAUGGGCACUGAGACAAGGGCCCAGGCCCUACGGGGCGCAGCAGGCGCGAAACCUCCACAAUGCGCGAAAGCGCGAUGGGGUCACUCCGAGUGCCACCCGCUGAGGGUGGCUUUUCCCGGGCCUAAAAAGCCCGGGGAAUAAGGGGAGGGCAAGCCUGGUGUCAGCCGCCGCGGUAAUACCAGCUCCCCGAGUGGUCGGGACGAUUAUUGGGCCUAAAGCAUCCGUAGCCGGCCCGGUAGGUCUCCUGUCAAAUCCAACGGCUCAACCGUUGGGCCGCAGGAGAUACCGCCGGGCUAGGGGGCGGGAGAGGCGGACGGUAUUCCGCGGGUAGGGGUAAAAU
rnacentral:rRNA from 1 species